rnacentral:rRNA from 1 species
GAUGAACGCUGGCGGCGUGCCUAAUACAUGCAAGUCGAGCGAACAGAUAAGGAGCUUGCUCCUUUGACGUUAGCGGCGGACGGGUGAGUAACACGUGGGUAACCUACCUAUAAGACUGGAAUAACUCCGGGAAACCGGGGCUAAUGCAGGAUAACAUGUUGAACCGCAUGGUUCUACAGUGAAGGGCGGCUUUGCUGUCACUUAUAGAUGGACCCGCGCCGUAUUAGCUAGUUGGUGAGGUAACGGCUCACCAAGGCAACGAUACGUAGCCGACCUGAGAGGGUGAUCGGCCACACUGGAACUGAGACACGGUCCAGACUCCUACGGGAGGCAGCAGUAGGGAAUCUUCCGCAAUGGGCGAAAGCCUGACGGAGCAACGCCGCGUGAGUGAUGAAGGUCUUCGGAUCGUAAAACUCUGUUAUUAGGGAAGAACAAAUGCGUAAGUAACUGUGCGCGUCUUGACGGUACCUAAUCAGAAAGCCACGGCUAACUACGUG